rnacentral:rRNA from 1 species
AUUGAACGCUGGCGGCAGGCCUAACACAUGCAAGUCGAGCGGUAGAGAGGUGCUUGCAUCUCUUGAGAGCGGCGGACGGGUGAGUAAUGCCUAGGAAUCUGCCUAGUGGUGGGGGAUAACGUUCGGAAACGGACGCUAAUACCGCAUACGUCCUACGGGAGAAAGCGGGGGAUCUUCGGACCUCGCGCCAUUAGAUGAGCCUAGGUCGGAUUAGCUAGUUGGUGAGGUAAUGGCUCACCAAGGCGACGAUCCGUAACUGGUCUGAGAGGAUGAUCAGUCACACUGGAACUGAGACACGGUCCAGACUCCUACGGGAGGCAGCAGUGGGGAAUAUUGGACAAUGGGCGAAAGCCUGAUCCAGCCAUGCCGCGUGUGUGAAGAAGGUCUUCGGAUUGUAAAGCACUUUAAG